UCCUCCUCAUACUGUUCCCGCAGCAGGUCACAGUCAUGACGGGAGGACUGCAGGGCGUGGGCCAGGGCGUUCUUGGCCUGCGGAAUCACCGUGAUGACACAUUGCAGAACCAUUUGGUCAUUUUCCAGGGAGAGGCAGAUGGAGUUUGCUGGGAUUCCAGAAGAGUGCCCUGUCCAUGAUGGAUUCCUGGCACAUCUUCAGGUCUCCUUCCAGCUUCCGCUUGGCUCGCUCCAGGUCAGCCCGCAGUUUC